rnacentral:rRNA from 1 species
CUUUCCAUUCCGAACAGGGAAGUUAAGCCCGUUAGCGCAGAUGGUACUGCUUUACCGUGGGAGAGUAUGUCGCCGCCUUCU